GUGGGGGAUCUUGCGCUAAUGCGCGAAAGCGUGACGCAGCGACGCCGCGUGGGGGAUGAAGGCCCUCGGGUUGUAAACCCCUUUCGGCAGGGACGAAGGGAAACUGACGGUACCUGCAGAAGAAGUCCCGGCUAACUACGUGCCAGCAGCCGCGGUAACACGUAGGGGACGAGCGUUGUCCGGAUUCAUUGGGCGUAAAGCGCGCGUAGGCGGCUCGGAAAGUCGGGCGUGAAAUGCCGGGGCUCAACCCCGGGACUGCGUCCGAUACUUCCGAGCUGGAGGUAGGUAGGGGAGAUCGGAAUUCCUGGUGUAGCGGUGAAAUGCGCAGAUAUCAGGAGGAACACCGGUGGCGAAGGCGGAUCUCUGGGCCUUACCUGACGCUGAGGCGCGAAAGCUAGGGGAGCGAACAGGAUUAGAUACCCUAGUAGUCC
rnacentral:rRNA from 1 species